UAAUGUUUUAUUUUAUUAAGUCUAACCUGCUCAAUGAUUAAUUUAAUUAAAUAGCCGCAGUAUCUUGACUGUGCGAAGGUAGCAUAAUCAUUUGUCUUUUAAUUGGAGGCUUGUAUGAAUGGUUGAAUGAGGGAAUAACUUUCUUUACAUUAAUUAUAUUGAAUUUAAUUUUUAAGUCAAAAAGCUUAAAUUUAUAAAUGGGACGAGAAGACCCUAUAGAAUUUUAUUUAAAUUUGAUUCAUUUUAUUUUUGGAUUAUUUUUAUUAAAUAAAUUAUAUUUAAAUUUUGUUGGGGUGACAUUGAGAUUUUAUAAACUCUCAUAUUUUAUUUAUUAAUAAUUUUUAUUUUUAGGAUCCUAUUUUAUGGAUAUUUAGAUUAAAUUACCUUAGGGAUAACAGCGUAA
rnacentral:rRNA from 1 species